GACGAACGCUGGCGGCGUGCCUAAUACAUGCAAGUAGGACGCAGUUGCGAACGGGUGAGUAACGCGUAGGUAACUACCUAUUAGAGGGGGAUAACUAUUGGAAACGAUAGCUUAUACCGCAUACUAGUAGAUGGACCUUCGUUGUAUUAGCUAGUAGGUGGGGUAAUGGACUACCUAGGCAACGAUACAUAGCCGACCUGAUAAGGUGAUCGGCCAAACUAGGAAUGAGACACGGGCCAAACUCCUAAGGGAGGCAGCAGUAGGGAAACUUCGGCAAUGGGGGGAACCCUGACCGAGGAACGCCGCGGGAGUGAAGGAGGUUUUCGGAUCGUAAAGGUCUGUUGUUAAGGGAGCGGUACUUAACCAGAAAGGGACGGCUAACUACGUGCCAGCAGCCGCGGUAAUUC
rnacentral:rRNA from 1 species